UGGGGAAUAUUGGACAAUGGGCGAAAGCCUGAUCCAGCCAUGCCGCGUGUGUGAAGAAGGUCUUCGGAUUGUAAAGCACUUUAAGUUGGGAGGAAGGGCAGUAAGCUAAUACCUUGCUGUUUUGACGUUACCGACAGAAUAAGCACCGGCUAACUCUGUGCCAGCAGCCGCGGUAAUACAGAGGGUGCAAGCGUUAAUCGGAAUUACUGGGCGUAAAGCGCGCGUAGGUGGUUCGUUAAGUUGGAUGUGAAAUCCCCGGGCUCAACCUGGGACCUGCAUCCAAAACUGGCGAGCUUGAGUAUGGUAGAGGGUGGUGGAAUUUCCUGUGUAGCGGUGAAAUGCGUAGAUAUAGGAAGGAACACCAGUGGCGAAGGCGACCACCUGGACUGAUACUGACACUGAGGUGCGAAAGCGUGGGGAGCAAACAGG
rnacentral:rRNA from 1 species